rnacentral:lncRNA from 1 species
AUGGGAAACAUGUACUGGUUGUUCCUUUGGUUACCACUCAAGAUGGGAACAGCACCCUGAAGCAUUUUGGUUACACAAAGACCAUUCUAAACCUGCUGUUAGGGGAGGUGUAUUGAUUUCUUUCUCCUUUAUAAGGCUAUUGUAUCAUUAAUUCUCUGUGUGAUUCAGGUGUAUUUAUUUGUGACAAGGCUUUGUAAUUAUAAAAAAGGGAACCCACACCUGACUGUAUUGCCAGCUCCCUUGUAAACUACCUGUGGCGUCUCGUUUCCUGGUCGCGUGCUCGUCCUCUCCUCAACACAGCUCUGGCACCAUUGUAAUUAGUUCAUCCACCCCAUUAGCAUCUCCAUUUAAGUGGUUCCCAGAUGAUUUAAUAAAGAGAAACUGUGUCCUCAGUCG